UCGCCACCAAGCGUAUAAGGACUACCUC
rnacentral:sRNA from 1 species